UGCGGUGGCAUUAGCUAGUUGGUAGGGUAACGGGCCGUACCAAGGCGAUGAUGCAUAGCCGAGUUGAGAGACUGAUCGGCCACAUUGGGACUGAGACACGGCCCAAACUCCUACGGGAGGCAGCAGUAGGGAAUCUUCCACAAUGGACGCAAGUCUGAUGGAGCAACGCCGCGUGAGUGAAGAAGGGUUUCGGCUCGUAAAGCUCUGUUGUUGGUGAAGAAGGAUAGAGGUAGUAACUGGCCUUUAUUUGACGGUAAUCAACCAGAAAGUCACGGCUAACUACGUGCCAGCAGCCGCGGUAAU
rnacentral:rRNA from 1 species